GACGAACGCUGGCGGCGUGCCUAAUACAUGCAAGUAGAACGCUGAAGGAGGAGCUUGCUUCUCUGGAUGAGUUGCGAACGGGUGAGUAACGCGUAGGUAACCUGCCUGGUAGCGGGGGAUAACUAUUGGAAACGAUAGCUAAUACCGCAUAACAGUAGAUGUUGCAUGACAUUUGCUUAAAAGGUGCAAUUGCAUCACUACCAGAUGGACCUGCGUUGUAUUAGCUAGUUGGUGGGGUAACGGCUCACCAAGGCGACGAUACAUAGCCGACCUGAGAGGGUGAUCGGCCACACUGGGACUGAGACACGGCCCAGACUCCUACGGGAGGCAGCAGUAGGGAAUCUUCGGCAAUGGACGGAAGUCUGACCGAGCAACGCCGCGUGAGUGAAGAAGGUUUUCGGAUCGUAAAGCUCUGUUGUAAGAGAAGAAACGAGUGUGAGAGUGGAAAGUUCACCACUGUGAACGGAU
rnacentral:rRNA from 1 species